CCAAUAGCGUAUAUUAAAGUUGUUGCAGUUAAAAAGCUAACGCUUGAAUACAUUAGCAUGGAAUAAUGAAAUAGGACGUUAAUCCUAUUUUGUUGGUUUCUAGGAUCGACGUAAUGAUUAAUAAGGAUAGUUAGGGGCAUUAGUAUUCAAUUGUCAGAGGUGAAAUUCUUGGAUUUAUUGAAGACUAACUACUGCGAAAGCAUUUGCCAAGGAUGUUUUCAUUAAUCAAGAACGAAAGUUAGGGGAUCGAAGACGAUCAGAUACCGUCGUAGUCUUAACCAUAAACUAUGCCGACUAGGGAUCGGAUGAUGUUAACUCUUUAAUGACUCAUUCGGCGCCUUACGGGAAACAAUCGAAUUCCCGCGGCCGUGAUUUUGGAGGGCAAGUCUGGUGCCCGGAACCAGUCGGACGGGAAUGACCGCACGGUUGCGUUCCAGUGGCUUCGUUGUGCGGGUGGCAUGCUCUUCGGCGCCUUACGGGAA
rnacentral:rRNA from 1 species